rnacentral:rRNA from 1 species
UGAUCCAGAGUACCACGAGACACGUGAAACCUUGUGGGAAGCAGGGAGGACCACCUCCCAAGGCUAAAUACUACCUGAUGACCGAUAGUGAAGCAGUACCGUGAGGGAAAGGUGAAAAGAACCCCGGGAGGGGAGUGAAAUAGAACCUGAAACCGUGUGCCUACAACCGCUCAGAGCCCCUUAUGAGGGUGAUGAGGUGCUUUUUGUAGAACGAGCCAACGAGUUACGGUAUGUAGCAAGGUUAAGUACUUAAGGUACGGAGCCGAAGGGAAACCGAGUCUGAAUAGGGCGACUAGUUGCAUGCCGUAGACCCGAAACCGGGUGACCUAUCCAUGGCCAGGUUGAAGCGAGGGUAAAACCUCGUGGAGGACCGAACCACGUUGCUGUUGAAAAAGCAUGGGAUGAGCUGUGGAUAGCGGAGAAAUUCCAAUCGAACCCGGAGAUAGCUGGUUCUCUCCGAAAUAGCUUUAGGGCUAGCGUCGAGUAUGAGUAGUGGAGGUAGAGCACUGAAUGGGCUAGGGGGCAUAGCGCUUACCGAACCUUAUCAAACUCCGAAUGCCACAUACUUUGAGCUCGGCAGUCAGACUACGAAUGAUAAGAUCCGUGGUCAAAAGGGAAACAGCCCAGAUCGUCAGCUAAGGUCCCAAAGUGUAAGUUAAGUGGGAAAGGAUGUGAGAUUUCUAAGACAACUAGGAUGUUGGCUUAGAAGCAGCCAUUCAUUAAAAGAGUGCGUAAUAGCUCACUAGUCGAGAGAUCUUGCGCCGAAAAUGUAACGGGGCUAAACUUACCACCGAAGCUACGGGCUUGAACUUAGUUCAAGCGGUAGGAGAGCGUCGUAACCGGGCUGAAGUCGUACCGUAAGGAGCGGUGGACUGGUUACGAGUGAGAAUGUUGGCAUCAGUAGCGAGAUGUGGGUGAGAAUCCCACAGGCCGAAAACCUAAGGUUUCCUCAGGAAGGUUCGUCCGCUGAGGGUUAGUCGGGACCUAAGCCGAGGCCGAAAGGCGUAGGUGAUGGACAACUGGUUGAUAUUCCAGUACCACUACCAUCGUUAUUAUCGAUGGCGUGACGCAGGAGGAUAGUGUGUGCUAGCUAUUGGAUGCUAGUCUAAGCGUUUAGGCAGUGAGAGUAGGCAAAUCCGCUCUCAUAAUGCUGAGGCGUGAUGGGGAAGGUUCCACGGAACCGAAGUACAUGAUUCCACGCUGCCAAGAAAAGCGUCUAGAGAGAGAAGUAGUGCCCGUACCGCAAACCGACACAGGUAGGUGAGGAGAGAAUCCUAAGGCCGGCGGAAGAAUUACAGUUAAGGAACUCGGCAAAUUGACCCCGUAAGUUCGCGAGAAGGGGUGCCUACGAGAGUAGGCCGCAGAGAAUAGGCCCAAGCAACUGUUUAGCAAAAACACAGGUCUCUGCUAAAGCGUAAGCUGAUGUAUAGGGGCUGACGCCUGCCCGGUGCUGGAAGGUUAAGGGGAACACUUAGCGCAAGCGAAGGUGUGAACUUAAGCCCCAGUAAACGGCGGCCGUAACUAUAACGGUCCUAAGGUAGCGAAAUUCCUUGUCAGGUAAGUUCUGACCCGCACGAAUGGCGUAAUGACUUGGGCACUGUCUCAACUGUAAAUCCGGCGAAGUUGUAGUGCGAGUGAAGAUGCUCGCUACCCGCGAUUGGACGGAAAGACCCCGUAGAGCUUUACUGUAGCUUAGCAUUGAGUUUUGGUAUUGUCUGUACAGGAUAGGUGGGAGACUAGGAAACCAGGGCGUCAGCCUUGGUGGAGUCAACCUUGGGAUACCACCCUGACAGUACUGAAAUUCUAACUGGCGGCCAUGAAUCUGGUCACAGGACAUUGUUAGGUGGGCAGUUUGACUGGGGCGGUCGCCUCCUAAAAAGUAACGGAGGCGCCCAAAGGUUCCCUCAGAACGGUCGGAAAUCGUUCGAAGAGUGCAAAGGCAGAAGGGAGCCUGACUGCGACACCCACAAGUGGAGCAGGGACGAAAGUCGGGCUUAGUGAUCCGGUGGUACCUCGUGGGAGGGCCAUCGCUCAACGGAUAAAAGCUACCUCGGGGAUAACAGGCUGAUCUCCCCCAAGAGUCCACAUCGACGGGGAGGUUUGGCACCUCGAUGUCGGCUCGUCGCAUCCUGGGGCUGAAGUAGGUCCCAAGGGUUGGGCUGUUCGCCCAUUAAAGCGGCACGCGAGCUGGGUUCAGAACGUCGUGAGACAGUUCGGUCCCUAUCCGUCGCGGGCGUAGGAAAUUUGAGAGGAGCUGUCCUUAGUACGAGAGGACCGGGAUGGACUGACCUCUGGUGUACCAGUUGUUCC